AUACAGAGGGUGCGAGCGUUAAUCGGAAUUACUGGGCGUAAAGCGCGCGUAGGCGGCUUGGUCAGUCGGAUGUGAAAGCCCCGGGCUCAACCUGGGAAUGGCAUUCGAUACUGCCAGGCUAGAGGAUGGGAGAGGGAAGUGGAAUUUCCGGUGUAGCGGUGAAAUGCGUAGAUAUCGGAAGGAACACCAGUGGCGAAGGCGACUUCCUGGCCCAAUACUGACGCUGAGGUGCGAAAGCGUGGGGAGCGAACAGGAUUAGAAACCCCAGUAGUCC
rnacentral:rRNA from 1 species